UGCUGCGCCUGCGCAACGAGCAGGACGGCCAGAUGAUCCUCGAGAUGGACUCCGACAACGUGCUGCUGCAGGACCCGUCGCUCUCACAGCCGCUGAUCCACCGCUGCCGCGUCUGCAAGCAGCUGUUCAACACGCAGCUGGCACUGGCGACGCAUGAGGCGAGCCACGCG